CGUAGGGUGCGAGCGUUGUCCGGAAUUAUUGGGCGUAAAGAGCUUGUAGGCGGUUUGUCGCGUCGGAAGUGAAAACUCAGGCCUUAAUCCUGAGCUUGCUUCCGAUACGGGCUGACUAGAGGAAGGUAGGGGAGAGUGGAAUUCCUGGUGGAGCGGUGGAAUGCGCAGAUAUCAGGAGGAACACCAGUGGCGAAGGCGGCUCUCUGGACCUUUCCUGACGCUGAGAAGCGAAAGCGUGGGGAGCAAACAGGCUU
rnacentral:rRNA from 1 species